AUUAUUAUUAUUAUUAUUUUGGUCAUACCAAGAGCUCUUUGGUAGCUUGCUACUUGCACUGCGAACGCAUACCCAAUGUAUAGAUUUUGUCAUGUACUUUCUCAUUGAUUUGAAAAUUGCUAUUGAUUGCUAUGUGCUGCUGCAUGCAUUACCCAAUGCUGGCAUAUGACAUCUCAUAUUGAAACCAGAUGCUAAAACUUACUAAACCAAGGCACAAUAAAGAAGCCAAUACCUG
rnacentral:misc_RNA from 1 species